UACGUAGGGUGCAAGCGUUAAUCGGAAUUACUGGGCGUAAAGCGUGCGCAGGCGGUUUUGUAAGUCUGACGUGAAAUCCCCGGGCUCAACCUGGGAAUUGCGUUGGAGACUGCAAGGCUAGAAUCUGGCAGAGGGGGGUAGAAUUCCACGUGUAGCAGUGAAAUGCGUAGAGAUGUGGAGGAACACCGAUGGCGAAGGCAGCCCCCUGGGUCAAGAUUGAC
rnacentral:rRNA from 1 species